UGCAAGUCGCACGCGCGGAGCUUGCUCCGUGAGUGGCGCACGGCUGAGGAUCACGUGGGAACAUGCCUCCUUGUGGGGGACAACAGCGCGAAAGCGCUGCUAAUCCCGCAUACGCUCGGUGACGAGGAAAGCCGCAAGGCGCAGGGAGAGUGGCCCGCGGCCCAUCAGGUGGUUGGUGGGGUAAUGGCCUACCAAGCCGAUGACGGGUAGCUGGUCUGUGAGGACAGACAGCCAGACUGGGACUGAGACACGGCCCAGACUCCUACGGGAGGCAGCAGCAAGGAAUUUUCGUCAAUGGGCGCAAGCCUGAACGAGCAACGCCGCGUGGAGGAUGACGGCCUUCGGGUUGUAAACUCCUUUUGCGGGGGACGAUGAUGACGGUACCCCGCGAAUAAGGCUCGGCUAACUCUGUGCCAGCAGCCGCGGUAAUACAGAGGAGCCAAGCGUUGUCCGGAUUGACUGGGCGUAAAGCGCACGCAGGCGGAUGUGCGCGUGGGGUGUGAAAUCUGGCCGCUUAACGGCCAGGCGCCAUCCCAUACGGCACAACUGGAGGGCUGCAGAGGUCGAUGGAAUUGCCGGUGUAGUGGUGAAAUGCGUAGAGAUCGGCAGGAACACCCAGGGGGAAACCAGUCGACUGGGCAGCACCUGACGCUGAGGUGCGAGAGCGUGGGGAGCGAACCGGAUUAGAUACCCGGGUAGUCCACGCCGUAAACGAUGGCCACUCGGCCUUUGGGGGCGGAAUCUCCGUCCGUGGGGGCCUUAGCUAACGCGGGAAGUGGCCCGCCUGGGAACUACGAGCGCAGGCUUAAAACUCAAAGGAAUUGACGGGGCCCGCACAAGCAGCGGAGCGUGUGGUUUAAUUCGACGCAACGCGCAGAACCUUA
rnacentral:rRNA from 1 species